GUAAGCAGCUUUGAGAGAGCGCGCGGCGCGCUAUUAUUUAUUCGCUCCUUAAUAGCAGCGGCUAACUAUUCUUUUUCCGGCCGGUAAAUGGGGAUUCCGGCCGGUAAAUGGGGAUCCGGCCGAUAAAAAGUGAGCGCGCUAGCGCUAUUAUUUAUUCGCUCCUUAAUAGCAGCGGCUUAUGCUUCUUUCCGGCCGGCGUUCUUGAAUUCUAAAACCUUCCUAUAGUUGAUGCUUUACUUUCUUUUUUUCCUAUUUCCCGUGUUUUUUGGAUGCAAGCGUUCUUUCAUUAUAAAACCUUCCGGAAGUAUAAAACCUAAAAUUAGAAAACCUAAGGAAACAACUGAAAAACUUGAUUGAUUUAUUUCCAAAAACCCGUGUUUUUUGGAUGCAAGCCCAUUAAAUAAUAGAUCCUAGAGUGGAUGCAAA
rnacentral:lncRNA from 1 species